rnacentral:lncRNA from 1 species
GGUGCCUAUUGGCCUUCCCUACAGCAUCCUGCCACAUGCCCUACCUAUCCCUAUCCCUAUUUUUCUCCCUGCCACUAAAACCUCCCAUUGGCACCCUCUUCUCUUAGUGCUCCAGUGUAUGUACACUGCACAAUAUUCUGAGCUAAGGUAUUAAUGACUUAAACACCACAGCAAUUUCUUAAAGGUAACUGGUUCCUAAUGAUCAGGCUGAUAAAUAAACCCAGUAGGAUUGGUUUGCCUGGUUUUCAUUCCCAGUUAGAAUGUACAUAGAUCUCUUUUUCUAGUUCAUUACAUACCAGAAACUCAGAAGUAUGGCCCAGCCUCUGAGAACUUCGGCUCAAGCACUGUUAAUGUUUUGCCAUUUUCAUGUCUAACUGUUUUCUGCCAAAACCUAAGUUCAGGAGAUUAGUCAUUAUUACUGAUGGUAUCAUCACCCAUUGCCGAACUAUAGCAAAGGACAUUUCCUUACAGGUUGCUGGUAUGGAAUACUCAUAAGAUUCAGGAGUGGUCUCCUCUCAUAGGCUCCAAAGGAGGCUAGAUCACAGAUCCCUCCUCCAAAAAUGAAAUUAAUUAUUUUAUUUUGUGUUUCAGCAUCGAGAGUGCCAGAAAAACAUCCCAAGACCCACACAGGGUUGUGCCUCAUAAUGGAUGUUUUGGCCACUGGACAUCAGAACCACAUUUUGAGUUUGAAGAAUAUUCUACAUGCUGAGAAAGUGGAAUUCCAGAGACACUCCUGAAAUUGUCCUAAGUUAAAGGAGCCAGUGUGCCAGCUCCCUCUCUGC